GUCCUCCUUAAAGGUACAGUGGCAGAGGCAGACCCAUUAUCUCUGACACCAUUAGUCCUCUCUGAUAGACCUAUGGGUUUUAGCUAACACUGGAGCAUGAGGACGUCCAGGGUCAGUUAGGCGACCAAAAGUUUCUCUAUAACUGCAAUAAUUACCAUUGCAGGGUUAAACUAACUUGGACAGUGCAACCAGACCACUUGAAUGAGCUGAUGUGGUCUUGGUGUCUAUA